rnacentral:other from 1 species
UAAGUCCUGAAGUGCACGUUACCCAAAUCUUCAGUUUUGACCGAACACUUCAAUAACCGGGAGUUCACGUUUUUCUGCGGCGUGCAUCCCUUUGCGGGGAAACACCAAUCAGAAAACAGGGCACCCACCUGCUGAGACCGGGUUCAAAACGUAAGAUCCUUACAUCUGACGGCACAAUUGGGAUUUAC